rnacentral:lncRNA from 1 species
GGGACACUGGGCUUAUGCUCGUGACCCGACCGCCCCCGCCUUUGGGAUUUUUUCCUCUGUUUGCCGAAAAGGAGAUUCCCUGUCAGAAUAUUAUCGCUUUUCUACGAGAAAAAUGUCGUGAAAAUUGAUUUUAAACAGCGGUUGACAUGCUUCGAAGUACGGUAAUGGAAUAUUUAGAAUUUUAUUGUCACGAAUUGCGCCAUGCGCGCGACACUUCUUUACUAUUUCGGAUAGUGUCUGGAACGCACGAACAAAACGCCGCUAUUCGGAUAUAACGAUGGAUUAUUUUGGACCAAACCAACAUUUGUUAUUGAAGUAGCAGUCCUGGGUGUGCAUUCUGACGAAGACAACAAAAGUUACAGUCUUGUCCCAUCGCUCCAACUCCUGUAUGGACUCAGGAGAGGUGAAGGUUGAGAGCCGUGUGUCCUACAAAACACAACCCAGCCAAGCCACACUGCUUCUUGACAUAAUGCCCGCUUAACCCGGAAGCCAGCCGCACCAACGUGUCAGAGGAAACACCGUACACCGUGUCAAUGUGCACUGCGCCCGGCCCGCCACAGGGGUUGAGCGUGAUGGGACAAGAGCAUGGUGGGACAAGAACAUCCCUGCCGCCAAACCCUGCCCUAAACUGGACGACGCUGGGCCAAUUGUACGUCACCCCAUGGGUCUCCUGGUCGAGGCCGGCUGCAACAGAGCCUGGACUCAAACCAGGAUCUCUAGUGGCACAACUAGCACUGCGGUGCAGUGCCUUAGACCACUGCGCCACUCGGGAGGCCCCUCCAAUAAUUAUUUUAGCCUUUAUAAAUGCAUUUCAUGCAAUUAUUCGUCAUUUUACAUUUUGGCAUAAUUUUUUUAAAUGUUGCAUUCAAAACAACUGGGAACUUGGAGCUGGGAAAUCUUUGACUUCAGUGCUUUCAAGACAACUGGGAAAUCGGGAAAAAACUAGCUCCGAUUGGGAAAAUUAGCUUUGGACUGUCAUCCAUCUCGGAAUUUCAAGUGGGG